GAGUUUGAUCUUGGCUCAGAUUGAACGCUGGCGGCAUGCCUUACACAUGCAAGUCGAACGGCAGCACGGGAGCUUGCUCCGGGUGGCGAGUGGCGAACGGGUGAGUAAUGCAUCGGAACGUAUCCUGGAGUGGGGGAUAACGUAGCGAAAGUUACGCUAAUACCGCAUAUUCUGUGAGCAGGAAAGCGGGGGACCUUCGGGCCUCGCGCUCUUGGAGCGGCCGAUGUCGGAUUAGCUAGUUGGUGAGGUAAAGGCUCACCAAGGCGACGAUCCGUAGCAGGUCUGAGAGGAUGAUCUGCCACACUGGAACUGAGACACGGUCCAGACUCCUACGGGAGGCAGCAGUGGGGAAUUUUUGGACAAUGGGGGCAACCCUGAUCCAGCCAUGCCGCGUGAGUGAAGAAGGCC
rnacentral:rRNA from 1 species